CACGUAGGGUGCGAGCGUUGUCCGGAAUUAUUGGGCGUAAAGAGCUCGUAGGCGGUGUGUCGCGUCGGCCGUGAAAACCUGCAGCUUAACUGUGGGCUUGCGGUCGAUACGGACAGACUAGAGGUAGGUAGGGGAGAAUGGAAUUCCCGGUGUAGCGGUGAAAUGCGCAGAUAUCGGGAGGAACACCGGUGGCGAAGGCGGUUCUUUGGGCCUUACCUGACGCUGAGGAGCGAAAGCGUGGGGAGCGAACAGG
rnacentral:rRNA from 1 species